UGCCCCUCACUUGCCAAUACGUCUAGAUCAGCCAGGGCGUCGGCAUGUGUAGCGUAUUAUGUUGGGCUCUCUCGAGAUAAGGAUACGAUGUCCCUUUAUCGGUUGGUUUCCUGUGUGUGCGGCCCGUUCGUUUUUUUUGUUACUUUCGCAUCGUUCGGUGCAUUCUGGGGGCUGUGUUGGCUUUUGGUGGCUUGCUUGGCCUAUUGGCUUUGCUUGUUGCUACUUGUCGGGCUGCUUUCGGGAAUGUCGACCGUGGAGGUGCAUGAGUGGUGUUUGGUUUGUUACGUGUGGAUGGCUGUUUGCUUGUGCAACAACGUUCACGCUGCAUACCUCUUCAGUUUUGCGGCAAGGCUUGGUUUGGCUUGUGCAUAUUGUGGGUUUCCUGUGUUGCAUACCUAGUUGAUGGAAAAGUGUGGGUUUUACGAUUUUCAUUUUCGUCUUGCGUCGUUCUUUUGGCGUGGGAUGAACAAUGAAGCGAUCUUUAUGAUCCAUCGUGCUGUUGCGUUUGCAACAAUGAUGUGGCCUAUGAAGCAUCGUUUGGUCUCUUGUAUACGGAAGCUCAUUUGGGCUUGGGUCUUUAUAAGAUCUUCGUUACGCCCUUGUUAAGCGUUCUCGCUUCUCCUAAACGAUUG
rnacentral:misc_RNA from 1 species